CCUACGGGUGGCAGCAGUGAGGAAUAUUGGUCAAUGGACGAGAGUCUGAACCAGCCAAGUAGCGUGAAGGAUGACUGCCCUAUGGGUUGUAAACUUCUUUUAUAUGGGAAUAAAAUGUUCCACGUGUGGGAUUUUGUAUGUACCAUAUGAAUAAGGAUCGGCUAACUCCGUGCCAGCAGCCGCGGUAAUACGGAGGAUCCGAGCGUUAUCUGGAUUUAUUGGGUUUAAAGGGAGCGUAGGUGGAUUGUUAAGUCAGUUGUGAAAGUUUGCGGCUCAACCGUAAAAUUGCAGUUGAAACUGGCAGUCGUGAGUACAGUAGAGGUGGGCGGAAUGCGUGGUGUAGCGGUGAAAUGCUUAGAUAUCACGAAGAACUCCGAUUGCGAAGGCAGCUCACUGGACUGCAACUGACACUGAGGCUCGAAAGUGUGGGUAUCAAACAGGAUUAGAUACCCCUGUAGUC
rnacentral:rRNA from 1 species